rnacentral:rRNA from 1 species
CAACCCCUGUGAACAUACCACUUGUUGCCUCGGCGGAUCAGCCCGCUCCCGGUAAAACGGGACGGCCCGCCAGAGGACCCCUAAACUCUGUUUCUAUAUGUAACUUCUGAGUAAAACCAUAAAUAAAUCAAAACUUUCAACAACGGAUCUCUUGGUUCUGGCAUCGAUGAAGAACGCAGCAAAAUGCGAUAAGUAAUGUGAAUUGCAGAAUUCAGUGAAUCAUCGAAUCUUUGAACGCACAUUGCGCCCGCCAGUAUUCUGGCGGGCAUGCCUGUUCGAGCGUCAUUUCAACCCUCAAGCCCUCGGGUUUGGUGUUGGGGAUCGGCGAGCCCUUUGCGGCAAGCCGGCCCCGAAAUCUAGUGGCGGUCUCGCUGCAGCUUCCAUUGCGUAGUAGUAAAACCCUCGCAACUGGUACGCGGCGCGGCCAAGCCGUUAAACCCCCAACUUCUGAAUGUUGACCUCGGAUCAGGUAGGAAUACCCGCUGAACUUAAGCAUAUCAAUAAGCA